rnacentral:snRNA from 1 species
UGAGGAAUGAAGAUCGAUGAAGAA